rnacentral:rRNA from 1 species
GCCUGUGGCUCUGCCACCUUGAAUGCUCUGUUCUCAUCUUACCUUGGAAGCUAAGCAAGGCCCCAGCCUGGCUAAUACUUGAUGGGAAACCACCUGGGAAUAAUGGGUGCAGUAGGCU